rnacentral:lncRNA from 1 species
GUGAGUCCUUUCAUGAAAUGAAAAUGACAUCUAAACCGUAGCUGUGCAUGAAGUGACUUAAUAAGAGAACCAGUUCUUGAUGAUCUGCUCCGUGCGUGUUUAAUUGUGCAUUAAUGAGAGUGGCACUGGUGCUCCGAGGUGUGACAGAAGCUGUUUGGUCCUCUUGAAUUAUAGACAAAGCAUAAGCCAUGGCAGAAUGAGCAUUGCUUGCCCUGAGAAACCACCCGUAUAACUACCUAAUUGUUUGCAUUCAUACAAUGAUUUAUGUACCAGAAAGGCCCCGGCGGCUGACCUGCUUUCCAUUCCAUCUCUACCCCGGGGUCUAAGAGACCGGACUGCCCAGCUGGGCUCUGAUCAGUAGGGGGAGCCCUGCAGAUGAGCAGGAGGAAAUCAAAAAGCAACCUUUUUUCUCUUCCAGUUUCUCAUAAGAAGGUGAGAGUGUUAUAGGAAUCGUGGGUUUCCCUCCUGGUCUCUGGGAUGACAGGAUGAUUGAGAAUCUGGGAUUUGGAGUUCCCAUUGUGGUGCAGCGGAAAGGAAUCUGACUAGGAACCAUGAGGUUGCGGGUUCCAUCCCUGGCCUCAUUCAGUGGGUUGAGGAUCUGGCAUUGCCAUGAGCUAUGGUGGAGGUUGCAGAUGCGGCUUGGGUCUGGCGUUGCUGCUGCUCUGGCGUCGGCCAGUGGCUACAGCUUGGAUUGGACCCCUAGCCUGGGAACCUCCAUAUGCCUAUGCUGCGGGUGCUGUCCUAAAAAGACAAAAGACAAAAAAAAAAAAAAAAAAAAAGAUGGGGUUGUGCCAGGUGACCUCUAAGGUGUCAUCCAGUUCCAGCCUCCUGAGACCCUAAGUCAAAAGAGGCCCAAAGCUUCUGGGUAUUUAUUAUUAUUACACCAUGCUGUUUGGGUGUAUGGGGUCUUGGUGCAAAGGGUUAUUCUCUUCCCGAUAGAGCAGCUCACUCUUGUUUCCAAGCUAUUUGGGUCAAAGAGGGAGCUAGCAUUUCUCCCUUGGAAAGAAUCUUGAUACUUUUGGGUGCUUUUCUUAGACACACAGAGGGAACGAUGCCUCCUACAGUGGUUGAUGAGCUUGUCAAGCAGCCAUGCUCUCCAGAGCACAGAAGAGCAUAGAUCCAGCCCCUGGCCAGGAUGUGAGGGACCUGGAGAAGAGGUAGAGGGAGAUCAGAAAAACUUAGUUUGAAUGGACACUGCACUUCCUUGUGACCUUGGGCCUAGGUUAUGGGUCAGCUUAAGUGGAGACCUUGCAUGGCUGUUGCGAAUGGGGUAUGUGAAGUCCUAGCCUCAUAUGUUGUAUGUGUGGGUUUUCAGGAAGUGCUUAUUGCUGUCACUUUACUAUUACUCAUUUGAAAGACACUGGUUUCCUGUCCAUGAAGGACGGAAUGGCUCUCAUCAAUGGUCCCAACCUAUUAACUAAAACCAUUUUUAUUUCUAGAAAUUUCUCUGCAGCUUACCUAGUCUCCAAACGCAGAGGCUCAGGAAUGGUGAUCAGGUUGGUUGAAUUAUUUAGUGAUCUGUUCUUGGAGCAGCAUGUGGAAUGGUGUUCAAUCUGGGGUCCUUGUCCAUCCCACGACUUCCUCACGGCAUAAUAGGUAGUCUGUUUCACCUCCAGAUUUUCAUGCAAGUCUCCAGAUGAGCUACUGCUAGUUCUUUGGGGGGAUUUAUUCUCAGUGUUGCCAUAAGAUCAUGUAAUGAUAUCAAGUGGCCAACGAGGGGCUUUUGAAAAGGCAGUGGAAACAGGAACCUGUCUCUAGGUGAAUGCUGUGUUGAAGGUGUCCUCUGAUGCAGAGUCCAGAAAUAUGCUCCCGCUCCUGUGAUGGUACCAUUUUCUAGAGGCAAUGCCCACACCUCUCCGUGGUCUUUCUGUAGCCCCACCCAUCGGUAGAAGAGAUGGCCAUCUGUGGGGUAAGAACGAAAGCAUGGAGAGUUGGGAUGAACCCAGGCAUGACCAUGCCUGCCUCUGUUUAAGAACCUUUACCAGCAUCCACCUUCUGGAGGAGAGACUUUUGGUUAGCUGUGGGACUAACAGUGGUUAAUGAGCUUGAAGGACCGCCGUGAUUUGCAUCAUCCCCACUCACCGUAAUUUUCUAAAGACGUUGAACUGUAGGACAGUCCUUUAAAUUCAACUCUGUUCCCUCUGCCUGCCUCCCCUUCCUCUCCCUUCUCCCUUCCUCCCCUGGCUGCCUCCUACCCCUCCCUCAACACGAAGCCCGUGUGGCAGGUGUUCCUAGUGGUUCUUAACCCUGCACAUUAGAGUCAGGGGAGUUAUUAAAAGUCCUGGGACCAAGUCCAGGCCCUGAUCAAUACCAUCAGAAUCCUUGCAGUGUGGACGCAAGCGUUGGUGUUUGUAUCAGUGUGUAUUUUGGAAACUGGAUCUCGGAGUUCCCAUCGUGGCUCAGCAGAAAUAUAUCUGACUAGUAUCCAUGAGGAUGCAGGUUCGAUCCCUGGCCGUGCUUGAAAAGGUCUGGCGUUGCUGUUGAACUGUGGUGUAGGUCACAGAUGCGGCUUGGACCUGGCAUUGCUGUUGCUGUGGCUGUGGCUGUGGUGGAGGUUAGCAGCUACAGCUCUGAUUAGAGCCCUAGCCUGGGAACCUCCAUAUGCCAUGGGUACCACCCUAAAAAGAC